AGCCAGAAAGGUCACUUAGAACCUAAGAAAAUAAACUUCAAUAGAAAAACAAUGCGGAAAACAAGGCUGAACUACAACAAUGGAAGAGCAAAUCAAGAUCCACCAUAAAAGAAUUGAAAAGUCUGUUGGUACCUUUGAGUGGUACAUCAGGCAGUCAGUUAUCACAAAUAUCUCCAUCUCUGGCCAACCAAUAUGCUUCUUCGCAGGUGGUGUUCAGUCUGUGUACACAUAUAUGGCAAGUAAAUUAGAGAGAAAACAUGAAACCUCUCUCUUGUGUAUUCUUUGUCAGUCCAGAAGAGGUUUCACGAUAUUUUACAGGAACAAAG